CUUCAUCAUCAUCAUACCUCAGCGUUUCCUCAAAGUUGUCAGCCACAAUUCAACAGCCUGUAAUCACAUAAACAACAUGACCGGAGAGUGAAGAUGAAUCCUCUUUGUAUUGAACUUUGACCCAGAACAGGCCGAUUGCGAGGAUGAGCACGCAGUGGUACUCCAGACCGGCUUUGGACUUGUAGGUUUUGCCGCAGUGAGAACAACUCAGCAGCAUCUUCUCCAGCUCGGACUCCUCCUUGCCACACUUCUUCAUGUGGUACACGU